GAUGAACGCUGGCGGCGUGCCUAAUACAUGCAAGUCGAGCUAACGGACGAGAAGCGUGCUUCUCUGAUGUUAGCGGCGUAAGGGUGAUGAACACGUGGAUAGCCUACCUAUAAGACUGGGAUAACUUCGGGAAACCGGAUCUAAUACGGGAUUAUAUUUUGAAUCACAUGUAUCAAAAGUGAAAGACGGUUUUGCUUUCACUUAGAGAUUUGGCCGCGCUGCAGUAGCGAGUUGGUAAGGUAACGGCUUACCAAGGCAAGGUUGCAUACCCGACCUGCGAGGGUGGUCGGCCACACUGGAACUGAGACACGGCCCAGAGUCCUACGGGAGGCAGCAGUAGGGAAUCUUCAGGAAUGGGCGAGAGACUGACGGAGCAAGGCCGCGUGAGUGAUGCAGGUAUUCGGAUCGUAAAACUAUGUUAUUCGGGAAGAAAAUAUGUGUAAGUAAGUGUGCAAAUAUUGACGGUACCUAAUCAGAAAGCCACGGCUAACUACGUG
rnacentral:rRNA from 1 species